GCUCCCUUCAGCAGCACCUAUACUAAAAACUGGAAUGGUUCAGAGAUUAGCAUGGCCUCUGUGUAAGGAUGACAUGCAAAUUCAUAAAGUGUUCCAUAUUUUU
ensembl:snRNA Gm22281 U6 spliceosomal RNA